UUCGAGUCCGAUCGGGAGCACCA
rnacentral:misc_RNA from 1 species